GCUUGGGAUCUAAAGCCCCAUUCGUGGAUGAUUCCAGCGACCCCCUCCCUAUGAUGUCUUCCUGGCCUAUAGCUGGUCGACGUGACUCCCCCAACAACUCUGCGCUGUUUACUUCCUCCUCCACCUCGUCCACCGUCUCCUCCUCACCUUUAGUGAGGUCUUCGUCCACAGUGAGAUUCUCUCAAACUGGCAAAGACUCCUCAUCAAGUGGAGUGGUAAGGAGUCCAGUAUUAUAUUUUUUUUCAGUACAGUAGGUCACCAGACCAGAGAACUACCGUAUUUUCAGGACUAUAAGUCGC